AUUUAAAUAAUUUAAUUAAAAUAUUGAUUUGUGGUGUCAAAAAUGUGAAAUGAUUUCAUUUUAAAUU
rnacentral:tRNA from 1 species